AAUGUUUGUUUCCUCUAAAUUUAGUUUUUAGAGGCCGACGAGCUGAAAAUAAUUAGCCAUUUGUUUCUGUGUUUUCAGGUGCAGUGGCCGUGCAUAAAUCCCAAAUACCAGGUGAAGAAGAAGAAUUACAAGAACUCUGGGAUUGUCAUUCUGAACCAGUGCAAGAUCAUCAAGAUGCACUCCUUCCUGGAUUACAUCAUGGGAGGCUGUCAGAUCCAGUUUACAACUGGCUGGUCUCCAUGGAAACGGUAACCACGGAGACACGUUCGGCAGCCUCUGUGUCCCAGUUAGACCCAGCAGCUCUCACUGGGGGCCUGACCAGUUUAACCAGUCGAAUGCUGCAGCCUCUCCUCCCCGCUGGUUCUGAACUCACGCUGCAGGGUCGAUCUGCGGCCCUCAGGAACAGAAGACGUCCUCGUUGAUCUUCACACAAACAGUUUAAUAUGCAUUUAAUAAACUAAUAUGCUGCUGAGCUGAACGCUUGUAUUUCAUCUGAGUCUGGACCCCAGAGGGGGCCGGUUACGGCACAGACCCAGCCGGCCGUCAGGUGAAACUUGGCCUAGUUUUUACACAGGCUGAGAAACACUGCCUGUGGACAGGUAUGUGGACACCUGUCCUGAGUUUACUUUUGGUCUGGUUGUCUGACCUGGUUUGGUUUAGACUGCAGUAAUGUUGUAGUACUCAAGACCGGUCUUGGUUUGGAGACAAGUCUUAAGGCCCCUUUUUGAUGGUCUU